GAGUUUGAUCAUGGCUCAGGAUGAACGCUGGCGGCGUGCCUAAUACAUGCAAGUCGAGCGAACGGACGAGAAGCUUGCUUCUCUGAUGUUAGCGGCGGACGGGUGAGUAACACGUGGAUAACCUACCUAUAAGACUGGGAUAACUUCGGGAAACCGGAGCUAAUACCGGAUAAUAUUUUGAACCGCAUGGUUCAAAAGUAAAAGACGGUCUUGCUGUCACUUAUAGAUGGAUCCGCGCUGCAUUAGCUAGUUGGUAAGGUAACGGCUUACCAAGGCAACGAUGCAUAGCCGACCUGAGAGGGUGAUCGGCCACACUGGAACUGAGACACGGUCCAGACUCCUACGGGAGGCAGCAGUAGGGAAUCUUCCGCAAUGGGCGAAAGCCUGACGGAGCAACGCCGCGUGAGUGAUGAAGGUCUUCGGAUCGUAAAACUCUGUUAUUAGGGAAGACAUAUGUGUAAGUAACUGUGCACAUCUUGACGGUACCUAAUCAGAAAGCCACGGCU
rnacentral:rRNA from 1 species